GAUCACAGAAGUUAAGCAAUGCUGAGCCUGGUCAGUACCAAGAUGGGUGACCACUUGGGAAUACCAGGUGCUGUAA